rnacentral:rRNA from 1 species
GACGAACGCUGGCGGCGUGCCUAAUACAUGCAAGUCGAACGCAGUGGGGACGGGUGAGUAAAACCUGGGUAACCUCCCAUCAGAGGGGAUAACCCUUGGAAACAGGUGCUAAACCGAUACUGAUGGAUGGACCAGCUGUGCAUUAGCUUGUUGGUGGGGUAACGGCUCACCAAGGCCACGAUGCAUAGGCGACCUGAGAGGGUGAUCGUGCACACUGGGACUGAGACACGGCCCAGACUCCUACGGGAGGCAGCAGUAGGGAAUCUUCGGCAAUGGACGAAAGUCUGACCGAGCCACGCCGCGUGAGUGAAGAAGGUUUUCGGGUCGUAAAACUCUGUGGUUAGAGAAGCGGUAUCUAACCAGAAAGCAACGGCUAACUACGUGCCAGCCGCCGCGGUAAUAC